ACUUGAUGGGGUAAGGCUCCCAGUAGACGACUGGGUUGAUAGGCCGGAUCUGGAAGCACGGUAACGUGUGGAGGUGACCGGUACUAAUAGGCCGAGGGCUUGUCCU
rnacentral:rRNA from 1 species